CCCUCUGCAGAUUCCAACACCACAGGCCAGCCAUGCCCUCACUGCCCCCAACCCCACAGCCACCCUGCUGCUUCCACCCAUGGAUGCCUGCUCUGCUCCUACAACACCUCCUGCAUCCCCGCAACCCAACAAGGAGCUUCUGCAUUGUGCCAGUGCCACCCCUUGGGUACAUAGGAGGGAAAACAAGAUUUAUUCAUUUCUGUCUGCUUUACGUUUAAUAAUUUUAAAGAUUUCUCUCUGAAAAACUGCAGACCAUGAAGUCUACAUGUUUUCUGAAAUCUUUGAAGAAAUUUAAAAAUUUGAUCGGUUAUCCUUUAUCUUUUUUCUUUAGAAAAUUUCCAACCUGAAAAAUCAGCUUGAAAUGGCCAAAUAAUUGAUGUUUAUUUUUCAAUUUUCCCUUUUUGAACAAGGAGAAGAAACUUAAUUGUCUAAUAAAUUUUAAAUUAUGGGAAAAAUACAUUUCCUUGAAGAAGAUACAGCAAUCUAAACUCAAACUUCUGACUGCA